rnacentral:rRNA from 1 species
AUUGAACGCUGGCGGCAGGCCUAACACAUGCAAGUCGAACGAGCGGCGGACGGGUGAGUAAUGUAUGGGGACUGCCCGAUCUAGGGGGAUAACUGCUGGAAACGGUGGCUAAUACCGCAUACUAUCGUAUAACCCUUAUGGGAUUAGCUAGUCGGGGGGGUAAAGGCUCACCUAGGCGACGAUGUCUAGCUGGUCUGAGAGGAUGAGCGUCCACACUGGGACUGAGAAACGGCCCAGACUCCUACGGAGGCAGCAGUGGGGAAUAUUGGACAAUGGGCGCAAGCCUGACGCAGCCACGCCGCGUGUAUGAAGAAGGUCUUCGGGUUGUAAAGCACUUUUGGUGGGGAGGCGUUAUCAGACGAAGAAGCACCGGCUAACUACGUGCCAGCAGCCGCGGUAAUAC